rnacentral:rRNA from 1 species
UGGGGAAUCUUGCGCAAUGGGCGAAAGCCUGACGCAGCAACGCCGCGUGCGGGAAGAAGGCCCUCGGGUUGUAAACCGCUUUCAGAAGGAACGAAACUGACGGUACUUUCAGAAGAAGGUGCGGCCAACUACGUGCCAGCAGCCGCGGUGACACGUAGGCACCAAGCGUUGUCCGGAUUUAUUGGGCGUAAAGAGCUCGUAGGCGGUUCGGUAAGUCGGAUGUGAAAACUUUGGGCUCAACCCAAAGCGUGCAUUCGAUACUGCCGUGACUAGAGUUCGGUAGGGGAGUGGGGAAUUCCUAGUGUAGCGGUGAAAUGCGCAGAUAUUAGGAGGAACACCGGUGGCGAAGGCGCCACUCUGGGCCGAAACUGACGCUGAGGAGCGAAAGCGUGGGUAGCAAACAGGAUUAGAUACCCUGGUAGUCCACGCCGUAAACGUUGGGCACUAGGUGUGGGUCUCAACCAACGAGAUCCGCGCCGUCGCUAACGCAUUAAGUGCCCCGCCUGGGGAGUACGGCCGCAAGGUUAA